AAUAUGUUAUAUGUUCUCCCCGAUCCGCGCUCACUCACUAAUCUGCUGCAGUAGAAAACUGUCGUUGGUGGGCAUAUACCGCUUGAUGGUGACGAAUCGCAGUUCGGCAAACUUCAGAAAAUGGCACCUUAAUGGAGGGGAUGACAAAACUAUUAAGCAAAGUAGUUAGGCCUGAUGGAUGGAGGACAUACCCACGGUGAUUUCAUUGCGACCAUCGCCGCCAAGGGCGAGAAUCGUUUUCAGAAAUACAAUUGUGAAUGCAUAAAUGUGAGCUGGACACAAAUGCAUUUUUCUAGCCUCCAAAUUCUCCUGUUUACCUCAAGACACUCGAAAACUAAUUGAAUUUUCUAAAUGCAGCGGCCAUUUCGUUUUCA